CGGGACGUAGCGCAGCCGGGCUAGCGCGCGUGCCUUGGGAGCACGAGGCCGGCGGUUCAAAUCCGCCCGUCCCGACCA
rnacentral:tRNA from 1 species